CAACUCAGGAUCAACUGUCAGAUAAGGACAAGGACAGAUGGCCAUAGCUGUGACCAGUUACAUUCUGCUGAAAUUGCCAUCAUCAUCAGUGCAUUCACUGAAGGUGCAAAUGUCAUCGCUGUCAUCAUCAUCUUUUGCCAAAUCCAGGAUUAUUUUCUAGUGCAGCGUCUCUUCCAGGAUAUCCAAAUCACAUCAUUCAAGGCUCCACUGUCACACAGCAGGCUUGUGCAAUACGUUCGUUUUGGUAAAAAAAAAAAAAAAUACUGAAGAAGAGAAAGUAAAAUGCAUUUUCUUGUCUGAUUCACUGAUUCACAUUCAAAAUUCACUUAUUCAUGCCACCAGCAUACUGUGGACUAAUCAGGUAAAUGUUAACUAAGACACAUAGAAACAGAAGUACAUGUGCUGUAAUUGUUUCGGUUCAGCUUGGUGAGAUCUGGUCAGAUUUUUUUGCUGUUGUAGUUAUUAGAUAGCAUACAUUAGUUGUCAUUACCAUGGUUAAACAACAAAUUUGGAAUGAUGAAACGCACACUAAGGAGAGAUCAUUAAAGAGAGAUUGUUAAAAAACAGGUCUCUGGUUUCUGUUUGAGAAUGGUGAGAGAUUUUUGAAAAAAGACAGUCUUUUGUUUCCUUGUUGCAAAACUGCUCAAAAGUGUUCAUAUUGUGCAUAUAACAUGUAAAAAAUAUCUGCAGUCUGAAAAAAUACAGCCUCUUUCCUUCCACCAUAAAUAUCUUUAUUUUUGUAGUGCGUUUGUGUAUUUUAUUUUAUGAUUUUUACCUAUGCGCUCAGAGGAAAUAGUACUGACUCCCAGCGUGUCUGGUUGAUCUGUGGCCAGGGUCCUAAACUAGCAUUUGCCAAGUGCUGACACAAAGAAAAGAAAACAAAACUUGGCUUUGUCAACUGCAUAAGACAAUACACAUAAUGCAUGAUUUAAAUCGAAUUGUAAAAACGGACAAUCUGAAUCUCACGUGCGUGAGAAAUUAAAAUCAAAUAUAUACAAACUACUAAAAGAAUAAUAUGUCACAGAUUGUGGUUUUCAUGUA
ensembl:lncRNA